CCUACGGGCGGCUGCAGUGGGGAAUAUUGGACAAUGGGCGAAAGCCUGAUCCAGCCAUGCCGCGUGUGUGAAGAAGGCCUUCGGGUUGUAAAGCACUUUCAGUGGGGAAGAAAGCCUUGGGGCUAAUACCCUCGAGGAAGGACAUCACCCACAGAAGAAGCACCGGCUAACUCCGUGCCAGCAGCCGCGGUAAUACGGAGGGUGCGAGCGUUAAUCGGAAUUACUGGGCGUAAAGCGCGCGUAGGCGGUCUGAUAAGCCGGUUGUGAAAGCCCCGGGCUCAACCUGGGAACGGCAUCCGGAACUGGCAGGCGAAGGUGCAGGGAAGGAAGGUAAAAUUUCCCGGUGUAGCGGUGAAAUGCGUAGAGAUCGGGAGGAAUACCAGUGGCGAAGGCGGCCUUCUGGACUGACACUGACGCUGAGGUGCGAAAGCGUGGGUAGCAAACAGGAUUAGAUACCCGAGUAGUC
rnacentral:rRNA from 1 species